rnacentral:rRNA from 1 species
UACAGAGGGUGCGAGCGUUAAUCGGAAUUACUGGGCGUAAAGCGCACGUAGGCGGCUUGGUAUGUCGGGUGUGAAAUCCCCGGGCUCAACCUGGGAACUGCAUCCGAAACUGCCUUGCUCGAGUAUGGGAGAGGGAAGUGGAAUUUCCGGUGUAGCGGUGAAAUGCGUAGAUAUCGGAAGGAGCAUCAGUGGCGAAGGCGACUUCCUGGACCAAUACUGACGCUCAGGUGCGAAAGCGUGGGGAGCAAACAGG